rnacentral:rRNA from 1 species
GACGAACGCUGGCGGCGUGCCUAAUACAUGCAAGUCGAACGCUUUGAUUUUCACCGGAGCUUGCUCCACCGAAAAUCAAAGAGUAGCGGACGGGUGAGUAACGCGUGGGCAACCUGCCCAACAGAGGGGGAUAACACUUGGAAACAGGUGCUAAUACCGCAUAAUUUGUUUUCCCGCAUGGGAGAAUAAUAAAAGACGCUUCGGUGUCACUGUUGGAUGGGCCCGCGCUGCAUUAGUUAGUUGGUGGGGUAAUGGCCUACCAAGACCGUGAUGCAUAGCCGACCUGAGAGGGUGAUCGGCCACACUGGGACUGAGACACGGCCCAGACUCCUACGGGAGGCAGCAGUAGGGAAUCUUCGGCAAUGGACGAAAGUCUGACCGAGCAACGCCGCGUGAGUGAAGAAGGUUUUCGGAUCGUAAAACUCUGUUGUUAGAGAAGAACAAGUGGGAGAGUAACUGUUCCCACCUUGACGGUAUCUAACCAGAAAGCCACGGCUAACUACGUGCCAGCAGCCGCGGUAAUACGUAGGUGGCAAGCGUUGUCCGGAUUUAUUGGGCGUAAAGCGAGCGCAGGCGGUUUCUUAAGUCUGAUGUGAAAGCCCUCGGCUCAACCGAGGAAGGUCAUUGGAAACUGGGGAACUUGAAUGCAGAGGAGGAGAGUGGAAUUCCAUGUGUAGCGGUGAAAUGCGUAGAUAUAUGGAGGAACACCAGUGGCGAAGGCGACUCUCUGGUCUGUAAUUGACGCUGAGGCUCGAAAGCGUGGGGAGCAAACAGG